GUUCGUAAUUAAGUAGACUCUCCAAAUUGUCGUUAUGGUGAUGUAGAAACAAAUACUCACUUCCUGUUCUCUUGUCCUAUAUACAAUAAUUUAAGACAUGAACUAUUAGAUUCUAUUUUAGUUCUCCCUGUCCAAGUAUAUACAAAAACUUUGCCUUUUGGAUUAACGGUACACUCAGAUUAGCAAAAUAGUAUUUUAUCUAGUUUGGUGCAGAAAUAUAUAAUUAAAGGUAAACGUUUUAAUCCUUGAUGUUAAUGCUUCGUCACGCAAUUGGAACCCAAGCAUUUCACACUGUAAACAUUAACAAUAAUUCAUGUUUAUUUAUUAUUUUUUUUUUUAUUUUUCUCAUUAAUUUUUUUGUCUUCUUCUUUCAUCUUUUUUAUAUUCAUAUAUUUAUUACAAAGC
rnacentral:lncRNA from 1 species